UACGUAGGGACCAAGCGUUGUUCGGAUUUACUGGGCGUAAAGGGCGCGUAGGCGGCAAUUCAAGUCAUCUGUGAAAUCUCCGGGCUUAACCCGGAACGGUCAGGUGAUACUGUUUUGCUAGAGUGCGGAAGGGGCAAUCGGAAUUCUCGGUGUAGCGGUGAAAUGCGUAGGUAUCGAGAGGAACACCAGAGGUGAAGACGGGUUGCUGGGCCGACACUGACGCUGACAGCGCGAAAGCCAGGGGAGCAAACGGG
rnacentral:rRNA from 1 species